CAACCGCUGCAACAAGGCCUCGGACCGUGCUCUCCUCCUGACGGAUCAGAACCUCUACAAGUUGGACCCCAAGAAGCAGUACAAGGUCAUGCGGUCCGUCCCGCUCAGCAUGAGAAGCCCAGCCACAAGGAUACUGUGAUGACUCAUGGGCCAUGUAGUUCCGUUCCCAGCACUGUUGUAACGGAUGAAGAGGAAAACUUAGGUUUCCCACCGUUUCAGCCAGAAUUGGAACUUUCUCAGCCAGAAAGGGAGCCCUUGCACCUGCAGGAGACUUGCCUUCCAGAGGUUUGCCAAACAAACCCUGAGCCGAUGUCUCCCCCAUUUUCUCGCCGUAAUUAUUAUCAACAACAAAAAGGAGUUCACCAGGCUAAUCGCAGAAGCCUGAGAAUCGCAGCCAGGCAUUCAGCUGAUUAAGCCGGCUUCCAUGAGAAACUUUAGGGAGUCAUGCAUCUGGACACAGAGAUUGACUUUCGGUUCUGUUUCCCCAGAGAAGUGUUCUUUGGUGGGAAAACGAGACCCUAUUUAGGUUCCUUGCCCCGUAGGAAUCUUGCGGAGUCAAUUCGUCAGCUACUGGAGUAGGUUUGUGUGUGGACAGCGCUACUCCCGUUUCCAAGCCUUCGUUCCCAUUCCCAGCCUUGUUUGCUCCACGGAUCUUGCCUUGCUUCCCAGGACUCAGCCUUGCUCCACGGACCUUGCCUUGCUUUCCGGACCUUGCCAAGUAUUACCACGGAUCUUGUUCUUGCUCCUCGUUUCUUGUUGCCUUGAAUCAAGCCUUGUGUUCCAAGAAUCAAGUUUACUUCCUAGCCUUGUUUAAGUUCAUGGACUAAAGGACCUUGUCAUCUCCCCUCACUUUGCUUGGCAAAGUGAGUGUUUCGGUUAUUGGAUUACAACUUUGGACCUUAAUAUCUCAUAUUGGACAUUGUUUUCCUGGACUAUAAUUGACCUUUCCUGAAAGGUCAGCUUCUGAACUAUAUUCUAUACUCAUUUUAUUUGACUUUAUAUAUUUCCUUAAUAAAGAUAUUAGAUAGA